UCAACUCCCCUUUCUCUCUCUGGAGCAGCUCUGGGGCAGCCGUUUUGCUGUUUCUCUGCUGGUUAUGUUGUUGUUGUGCUAUCUUCAGACAGUGCACAUGUGCUCAGCCAAAUUUACGCACCAGUGCAGCCUCCUCCCCCAUCCUGAAAGCCUGGAAGAAAUUGCUCCAUAUCUCUUCUGCAAAAGGCACUGUGGAGAGUUGCAGAAGGGCAGGAACUCCAGAAAGCCGAGAUAAGAGCCCUACCCUUUCCUUGGUGAGACAAGCAUGCCAUGGAUUAUGGAGAGGGACUCAAGGAACAACCACGAGGACUCAGAUGAGUCUUUUCAGCAGUUCACAAAAAAGCCCCAUCUCAUGUCUUCCCUGUUUUGAAAGGGAGGAGUACAAGAGCUAUGAUGUGAAAUGAGCAGCGAUGUUGGAGGUAAUCAGAGUCUCAGUCAUUGAGAUACCUGCCCACGCCCAGAACUACGGCCAUAAACUGCUUACUACAGCCAAUGCUGUAAAAAUUCCUUCCUGCAUGCCCUAGACACAGGUUGGUUUUGUAUAUGCUGAAGACUCACUGGGUGAUGACAUAUUUCCUCUUUGGGUUGACUCAUGAGCUGUUGCUCCUGGUUGCUGUGAAAGUUGGAAGCGCUUUCACACUACCUGCUGCAAGUACAUCGCAUGAAAUGAGGGAAAGGUCUGUUAUUUCCAGGUUUGAUUACUUGACUCUUGCUUUUGCAGUUGCUGAGCUUUGCUACUUUGACAUUUAUUAAACAGCUUAUU